CCUCCCAAGAGUGAUGUGCUCACAUGUUCCAAAAAGAGACACCCAGAUGAGGAAACUGCUUGAUGCUGGUUCACAUGGAUGCUGGAGACUUUUGCUCAGUAUAUGCAGAAGGAUGAGAUGCCUGCAUCAGGAAGAUAUGUGAAAACCAAGGAUUUCAGAUAUUAUUUUCCCACCGAGAAAGAGAACUCUGCAUUUACCUGGGAGGUGUUAGAGGGAUGGUGUGUGAUUUUUGAGUAUAAGAAAAAAGAUCCACACAGUUCUCCUAUUCUCAACAUCUGGGAUGCUGUCCUGGGUAUUCUGUAAUGCAGCACUGGAAGGUGCUAGGUGCCACAAUCAGCAGGAUCCCUCUGAUGCUAUUUUGAAUGGUGUUUCAGUUGUCAUGCACCGGUGUGGACCUGUCCACAGCGCAGGGGACUCUUCUAGUCAACUGUCAGUGUCCGGGAGGCUUCUGUCCUCCUCCGCCAGGCAGCAUGGAGAUGGGCUGGAAUUGCCUUUGCUGACAUCUCCUGGACAGAAGCCUUGGGAGAAACACAAAGAGAAGAUUCAUUCUUUGUGGUAGUCCAAGAAUAGCCAAACUCUGCAGCCCUCCUCCUCCGAAUGCCAACUGCAGCUUUCAGUAGCAGGAGUCCCCCUUUGGAUUCACGCCCCUCUCAGACAGCUCAGGUUUGAAAAGCUGAAAAUUCCCCUUCAUUAGAGAAGAAUUAUGUGACCUCUAUGGAAAAUGUGGAAGACAUAUGUUAAGAAAAUGUGUGUUGUCUGUAACAUCAUUAGUAGAGAAACAACAUUAAAAUUCGAUGUUGUUUCCUCCUAGGAGUUUAUUAUGCGUUUCACAUUGAUGGCACCAUACUGUAAGACAUAAUUUAGUAUUCUGCUAGUUAAAACUUUAAA